rnacentral:lncRNA from 1 species
UCCCUUCUUAGGCACGAUCAGAUGAAUGACAUCAAUAGUGAUGAACGAUGUAGAUUCGUUUACUUUUUAAGCAUGAUUGGACGAAUGAGAUCAAUCGUGAUGAACGGUCAAAAUCGAUGCUGGAUGAGUAUAAAUAUCUCGCGUCGCAGGAGAACUCAAACCCAAGUCGCCAGCUCCCGUCAGAGAAGAAGAACCAAGCGUCGGAGAAGAAGGUCGACCGCUGACCGCCGAUGCACUGGAGCCACCGUCUUAGCACCAGAGCCACCGCCGACCGCUAAAAAAUAUAAAAUUUUUCCCUACCCACUCAGAAUUCAAUUUUAAGCAUUCAUGUGGCCAUAUCGGAGCAAGAGAGAUGGCG